rnacentral:lncRNA from 1 species
ACCAUUUGCCAGUGAACGCCACCCAAAGACGGAGGCAGAGGCAUGGCCCUGGGAGCAGAAUUGAGUGAAACGCUAGUCGAGAAGCCUGAACAUAUGAAUUUAGAGAUGUCCAUCCUGGCUCCUUCCAAGAGAAAGCAGCUCCUAGACAAGAAGGCAGAAGACAAACAGCCCCCUGAGAGUCGGGGUAACAAUGGCAGGAGUUCCAAGUCCUCUCCCAUGGGCAAAGACAACACCUGGCCAAGUCCGGAGGCUAAGGUCCCCAGUCAGAAGCGAUCUGGGCAAAGCUGGGCUGUCUCUUCCUGCGGACCCCACAAGAGAAGCAGCAAGCUGGAGGACAAGAGGAGGAACAGACCAUCUCGCUUCAGAGAGAGAGGAAGGGACAAGCCGGGGUCCACCCACAAAAGAGAUUCCUCGCACACAAAACUGCAUGUAAAGGACCGAAGGUCCCAGCCAAGAUCUCCUGUGAGGACUCUGAAGCGCAGUCGCUCUGGAGACAGGCAAGGUGUCCCGCACAACUCUGCCAAGAGAUGCAGACAGACUUCUCCUCCAGAAGCCAGCUCAUUACCAACAUUCUCGCUGCUCAUGUCCAGAGUCUUCACCAACGUGGAUGCCUUGCAGGUGAGCCUGGACGACCUGCAAGCCCCCGGAGGUGCCUUCCUGCGUGUGCCCUCAAGCAGCACGGAGCCCAGUGUCUCGCAGCGGGCCUGGCUCACUUGGCAACUGUCCCAUGCAGGAGCCGCACUGCACUGGGCCCUUCACACAGUCAAUUCCAUCUUGACUGCGCAGGCCAGCCUGCCCAGAUACACCUGGCCCCAAGGCUAUUCCUUCACUGCUGACCCUAGACCCGUGCCCACCUCCAAGAUCCAGGCCAGCCAACUGGCUCAGAGACCAGGCGACUUGGCAUCUCCCAACCCUUCAGUGGAUACAAGAAGCAUCCUGGGCUGAGCACAGCAGGCCAGAGAGACCAGAAGGCAGGCUUUGAGUCCAGUGAGCACCAAACUAUCUACAGACUCCGGAGGCACUCAACUUCAGAGUCCAGUGUCUCUCCAGUCAAGGACACGGGGAGUGACUGAAGAAAACCUGGGAAGCCUCAUUGGGGAACUUGGACUGUUGGAACCUCUCAUAGAUGUGGACCCUUCUACCUUGCCCUUUAGGAGAAGUGUAUCAUUGGAGAAACGACCGACUCUUAGAAUUCAAUCAGCCAGAGAAGCUUGGGUAUCAUACAGACACCCUCCUCCCCUUUUGGACAGGGUCCCUUAUGCCAACUGAGGGUUAAAUUGCCCAUGUAUGGCACAGGCCACCACAACACAUUGACUUGGAGUUCCUGGGGUCAAGUUCCCGCCCUUGGGCAUGCUAGCAGUGCAGCUCCCCAGCCACACAGCCACGGGGAAGCCUGAGCUCUGUUCCCUGAGUUUGAACUGCAUUCUUUCUUUCUGCAGAGCACUCAAGCACUGCCUAGAACCCAGACUUUACCUCAGGUUAGCAAGCUGGACUAGGAACUCUCUGAACACAGAUCACCGUUCAGUAGACUUACUCUCUGACAGAGUCAAUCCAUUUAGUACUCUAAAUCUAUGACCUGAUUUUUAUCCACUUUUAAUUUCCGUCUUGGUCACAUCCUGACUUGUAAUGCUUCAUCGUGGUUUUCACUAUUUUAAUAAAGAUUUAUUUUUUUCU